rnacentral:pre_miRNA from 1 species
UCGUACGCUGAUGGGCAAAGUUUCUGAACCGUGUUGUGUUCAAGGCUAAACGGUUUGGCACUUGCCCAGCACUGUAUGAC